rnacentral:rRNA from 1 species
UACGGAGGAUCCAAGCGUUAUCCGGAUUAUUGGGUUAAGGGUGCGUAGGCGGCCUGUUAAGUCAGGGGUGAAAGACGGUAGCUCAACUAUCGCAGUGCCCUUGAUACUGAUGGGCUUGAAUGUACUAGAGGUAGGCGGAAUGUGACAAGUAGCGGUGAAAUGCAUAGAUAUGUCACAGAACACCAAUUGGCGAAGGCAGCUUACUACAGGAAGAUUGACGCUGAGGCACGAAAGCGUGGGAGCAAACAGG